GCACAAAAUAUAUUAAAUUUCAACACACAAGGACCUUCAUCGAGACGAUGCGAAGGAGCUGCGCUGUCAGAUCCAACCCCCGUUCAUGCGCUCAGGACCGACGAAAUCGAAUAGAUCCGUCGAUCGGCAGCAGCGGGGAAAUUGAAAAACGCAACUUGGUAUAUCAAUGAAGAUUAUAAAUGGGGUUGCUAACAAGUUCCGAAUGCAACGUAGAACCACCAAGCACGUCAGCAGUGAACACAUCAAAGACGUUGUUAUCCUAUAUAGAGAUAUUACAAGAUAACGAUUAUUAAAUUGUCUGCUAUUAUGUGACAUAUAUUUUUAUGUACGCUUCUUUAUUCAAAGAUAAAACUUUCCAUGGAUCUAUA